UUCGCAAUGCCCGAAAGGGUGAACGAGCGACGCCGCGUGCGGGAUGAAGGGUUUCGGCUUGUAAACCGCUUUUCUUUGGGAAGAAGGUCUGUCUCGUGAAGAUGGGCUCGACGGUACCAGAGGAAUAAGCCUCGGCUAACUCCGUGCCAGCAGCCGCGGUAAGACGAACCGUCCAAACGUUAUUCGGAAUCACUGGGCUUAAAGGGUGCGUAGGCGGCUCGACAAGUUGGGUGUGAAAGCCCUCGGCUCAACCGAGGAAUUGCGCCCAAAACUGUCGGGCUUGAGGAAGACAGAGGUGAGCGGAACUUAGGGUGGAGCGGUGAAAUGCGUUGAUAUCCUAGGGAACACCAGUAGCGAAAGCGGCUCACUGGGUCUUUUCUGACGCUGAUGCACGAAAGCUAGGGGAGCGAAGAGGAUUAGAUACCCUCGUAGUCCUAGCCGUAAACGAUGGGCACUAAGUAGAGGGGUUUU
rnacentral:rRNA from 1 species